rnacentral:rRNA from 1 species
UACGUAGGUGGCAAGCGUUGUUCGGAAUUAUUGGGCGUAAAGGGCGCGUAGGCGGUUUGUUAAGUCGGUCGUGAAAGCCCGGGGCUCAACCCCGGAGGGUCGACCGAUACUGGCAGACUAGAGUACAGAAGAGGUAACUGGAAUUCCCGGUGUAGCGGUGAAAUGCGUAGAUAUUGGGAGGAACACCAGAGGCGAAGGCGGGUUACUGGGCUGAUACUGACGCUGAUGCGCGAAAGCCAGGGGAGCAAACGGG